GGGUUGUGAGGUUAAGCGACUAAGCGUACACGGUGGAUGCCCUGGCAGUCAGAGGCGAUGAAGGACGUGCUAAUCUGCGAUAAGCGUCGGUAAGGUGAUAUGAACCGUUAUAACCGGCGAUUUCCGAAUGGGGAAACCCAGUGUGAUUCGUCACACUAUCAUUAACUGAAUCCAUAGGUUAAUGAGGCGAACCGGGGGAACUGAAACAUCUAAGUACCCCGAGGAAAAGAAAUCAACCGAGAUUCCCCCAGUAGCGGCGAGCGAACGGGGAGCAGCCCAGAGCCUGAAUCAGUGUGUGUGUUAGUGGAAGCGUCUGGAAAGGCGCGCGAUACAGGGUGACAGCCCCGUACACAAAAAUGCACAUACUGUGAGCUCGAUGAGUAGGGCGGGACACGUGGUAUCCUGUCUGAAUAUGGGGGGACCAUCCUCCAAGGCUAAAUACUCCUGACUGACCGAUAGUGAACCAGUACCGUGAGGGAAAGGCGAAAAGAACCCCGGCGAGGGGAGUGAAAAAGAACCUGAAACCGUGUACGUACAAGCAGUGGGAGCACAGAGCAAUCUGUGUGACUGCGUACCUUUUGUAUAAUGGGUCAGCGACUUAUAUUCUGUAGCAAGGUUAACCGAAUAGGGGAGCCGAAGGGAAACCGAGUCUUAACUGGGCGUUAAGUUGCAGGGUAUAGACCCGAAACCCGGUGAUCUAGCCAUGGGCAGGUUGAAGGUUGGGUAACACUAAUUGGAGGACCGAACCGACUAAUGUUGAAAAAUUAGCGGAUGACUUGUGGCUGGGGGUGAAAGGCCAAUCAAACCGGGAGAUAGCUGGUUCUCCCCGAAAGCUAUUUAGGUAGCGCCUCGUGAAUUCAUCUCCGGGGGUAGAGCACUGUUUCGGCAAGGGGGUCAUCCCGACUUACCAACCCGAUGCAAACUGCGAAUACCGGAGAAUGUUAUCACGGGAGACACACGGCGGGUGCUAACGUCCGUCGUGAAGAGGGAAACAACCCAGACCGCCAGCUAAGGUCCCAAAGUCAUGGUUAAGUGGGAAACGAUGUGGGAAGGCCCAGACAGCCAGGAUGUUGGCUUAGAAGCAGCCAUCAUUUAAAGAAAGCGUAAUAGCUCACUGGUCGAGUCGGCCUGCGCGGAAGAUGUAACGGGGCUAAACCAUGCACCGAAGCUGCGGCAGCGACGCUGAUGCGUUGUUGGGUAGGGGAGCGUUCUGUAAGCCUGUGAAGGUGUGCUGUGAGGCAUGCUGGAGGUAUCAGAAGUGCGAAUGCUGACAUAAGUAACGAUAAAGCGGGUGAAAAGCCCGCUCGCCGGAAGACCAAGGGUUCCUGUCCAACGUUAAUCGGGGCAGGGUGAGUCGACCCCUAAGGCGAGGCCGAAAGGCGUAGUCGAUGGGAAACAGGUUAAUAUUCCUGUACUUGGUGUUACUGCGAAGGGGGGACGGAGAAGGCUAUGUUGGCCGGGCGACGGUUGUCCCGGUUUAAGCGUGUAGGCUGGUUUUCCAGGCAAAUCCGGAAAAUCAAGGCUGAGGCGUGAUGACGAGGCACUACGGUGCUGAAGCAACAAAUGCCCUGCUUCCAGGAAAAGCCUCUAAGCAUCAGGUAACAUCAAAUCGUACCCCAAACCGACACAGGUGGUCAGGUAGAGAAUACCAAGGCGCUUGAGAGAACUCGGGUGAAGGAACUAGGCAAAAUGGUGCCGUAACUUCGGGAGAAGGCACGCUGAUAUGUAGGUGAAGUCCCUCGCGGAUGGAGCUGAAAUCAGUCGAAGAUACCAGCUGGCUGCAACUGUUUAUUAAAAACACAGCACUGUGCAAACACGAAAGUGGACGUAUACGGUGUGACGCCUGCCCGGUGCCGGAAGGUUAAUUGAUGGGGUCAGCGCAAGCGAAGCUCUUGAUCGAAGCCCCGGUAAACGGCGGCCGUAACUAUAACGGUCCUAAGGUAGCGAAAUUCCUUGUCGGGUAAGUUCCGACCUGCACGAAUGGCGUAAUGAUGGCCAGGCUGUCUCCACCCGAGACUCAGUGAAAUUGAACUCGCUGUGAAGAUGCAGUGUACCCGCGGCAAGACGGAAAGACCCCGUGAAUCUUUACUAUAGCUUGACACUGAACAUUGAGCCUUGAUGUGUAGGAUAGGUGGGAGGCUUUGAAGUGUGGACGCCAGUCUGCAUGGAGCCGACCUUGAAAUACCACCCUUUAAUGUUUGAUGUUCUAACGUUGACCCGUAAUCCGGGUUGCGGACAGUGUCUGGUGGGUAGUUUGACUGGGGCGGUCUCCUCCUAAAGAGUAACGGAGGAGCACGAAGGUUGGCUAAUCCUGGUCGGACAUCAGGAGGUUAGUGCAAUGGCAUAAGCCAGCUUGACUGCGAGCGUGACGGCGCGAGCAGGUGCGAAAGCAGGUCAUAGUGAUCCGGUGGUUCUGAAUGGAAGGGCCAUCGCUCAACGGAUAAAAGGUACUCCGGGGAUAACAGGCUGAUACCGCCCAAGAGUUCAUAUCGACGGCGGUGUUUGGCACCUCGAUGUCGGCUCAUCACAUCCUGGGGCUGAAGUAGGUCCCAAGGGUAUGGCUGUUCGCCAUUUAAAGUGGUACGCGAGCUGGGUUUAGAACGUCGUGAGACAGUUCGGUCCCUAUCUGCCGUGGGCGCUGGAGAACUGAGGGGGGCUGCUCCUAGUACGAGAGGACCGGAGUGGACGCAUCACUGGUGUUCGGGUUGUCAUGCCAAUGGCACUGCCCGGUAGCUAAAUGCGGAAGAGAUAAGUGCUGAAAGCAUCUAAGCACGAAACUUGCCCCGAGAUGAGUUCUCCCUGACCCUUUAAGGGUCCUGAAGGAACGUUGAAGACGACGACGUUGAUAGGCCGGGUGUGUAAGCGCAGCGAUGCGUUGAGCUAACCGGUACUAAUGAACCGUGAGGCUUAACCUUACAACGCCGAAGGUGUUU
rnacentral:rRNA from 1 species